rnacentral:rRNA from 1 species
AUACGGAGGGUGCGAGCGUUAAUCGGAAUUACUGGGCGUAAAGCGUACGUAGGCGGUUGGUUAAGUUAGAUGUGAAAGCCCCGGGCUUAACCUGGGAACUGCAUUUAAAACUGGCGGACUAGAGUUGAGUAGAGGGGAGUGGAAUUUCAGGUGUAGCGGUGAAAUGCGUAGAGAUCUGAAGGAACACCAGUGGCGAAGGCGACUCCCUGGACUCGAACUGACGCUGAGGUACGAAAGCGUGGGUAGCAAACGGGAUUAGAAACCCUAGUAGUCC